GAGACCUUAGGUCAGGCGGGGCUAC
rnacentral:rRNA from 1 species